AGAAAGAGCAAAGAUGAACUUUUUCCAUAAUCAUACGGCAGAUCUGUACCAAAGAGCCUAUGGACAAUUCAUGAAUGAUAGGGUUCCUAUAUGCUCGAUGACAGAUCUACACAAAGAGGCAUAUGGCAAUUCCAUGAAUGACCAGGUUCCUUUGAGCUCGAAGCACCUUCUGACCAAGAUCAAGGCUUUGUAUGCUAACACUCAAAAUCAUCAUGGUGGAGAAGGCACAAGUUCUAGAAAUC